GUGACAAGCCGUAUCAUCUUCCAAUGCCUGAUCUUGUCUGAUCUGUGAAGCUAAGCGGGGUCGGACCUUGUUAGCAUUUGGAUGGGAGAUCACUGCAUACCAGGUGCCAUA
rnacentral:rRNA from 1 species